UGAGUAUUCAUUCAAAUGAAAAAUUCUCCUUAGCACUUCGCAAAACUCACAAAACUCUUGCGAUCCAGUUUAGCAUAAUCCAAAAGCUAUGGCGAAGAAGAGCAAUGGCGGAUGGUAUGUUGAACGAGAUCAGGAAAACUCUUACGAUCGAGUUAGAUGGUUGAAUUUGAUGAUUUCGGAGCCUUAUUAUCUGUUUCACUUGCUCGUUUUCUUCACAUAUAUCCCCGUUCGUAUCUCCGCUUUCCAAAUUCUAUCUCCGGCUCGCAAUUCCUUCCUGCUUAAACGAGAGAUUCAAGUGUUUGUUGCAUACUGUGUCUUGACUAUUGUGAAGAUUGUAAGGACAGAAAGCUGGGAAUCAUUCAUUCAAGAUAUUUUGUUGUUUGCUAAGAUUUUCCUUACUGCCAUCGCGUUAGUUUUGGAUUAUCACCUGUCUCUCUGGUAUGCAUUGGCAUUUUUAGUUAUACACAUUAUAGCUCAACAGCCUCCAUAUGAAGGACUAGGUUCUUCUAAUCACUUGACACCAUUGCAGUUGGAGAGCUUGCUUACUGAAGGGAAUACAUCACGAUUUUGGCUGGUCGAAUUUCGCGCUUUCUCCACAUCGGCUUGCGUAUGCACAAGUUCCUUUUUUCCAGAACUUUCAAUAACAUACUCAAAUGCAAAUUUAUCAUUCGGGACAGUUGAUCUUGGACUCUUCCCUAAUGCUGCAGAAAAAUUUGGCAUUCCUUUUGGAAGCUUGAACCAACUUCCAGUGUACAUUCUGUUUGAGAAUGCUACAGAGGUUGCACGCUUUCCAGAGUUUGAUUCUGAGCCGUAUGUUUUUGGUCCUACCAUUACAAAGAAACUUCUUUGUGGGCGUUUUGAGCUUGACAAAAGACUUCUGGAUUAUGUAAAUGGAAAAUAGGGCGGUGAAACUACCGUUUGUUAGCAUACACACUCUGCAUACAUCGUUAAUUGCCUUUAGGGCAGCCCGGUGCACUAAAGCUGCCGCUAUGCGCGGUGUCCGGGGAAGGGCCUCACCACAAGGGCAAUUACUGCAUUGCGGUCAAACAUGAAAGGUAUUUAAUACCUCCCUUUUGCUUCGUCUGGGCGUUUGUUCUUCCGACCCCAAUAGAAGGAGAUGUUAUAUUCAUUCUCAUUCAUUCGGUUUCUGAAGAUGCUAAUCGCUUUUGUUUCCUCACACUUCCUGUCAAAACUAGAGGCAAACAUGUUAAGGGUGCUGGAUCAGCGAUAUGAAUUUGUUUUUCCCCAAGACAUGAAAUUGAGGGGAUUUCUUUUAAAUCUUUUUUACCCUCCCUAGGAGCUCACAUCCUUUUUGCUCCUUGGUGACUCGAACUCACAACCUUAGGUUUGUAAGUGAGAGGUACUUAUCAUCCAAGCAACCCCUUUUUGUCAAAUUGAGGGGACUGCUUGUAAGGAAAUUGUCUUUUUCAUUUCUUUCUCUUACAUAGCUAAAAGGGGAAGAUAGGACCUACUUUGCUGCAGUCAUUAUUGUAACAUUGUAGUUCAAAUUGUGUCUUGUGACCACAAGGAAAACAUUGUGGUUUAUGGCGAAUGAGAUGUAACCUGUGUUUGGAUUGUUCCAAUUAAUUCUUUGUUUGGUUCAAA